GACGAACGCUGGCGGCGUGCUUAACACAUGCAAGUCGAACGGUAAGGCCCUUCGGGGUACACGAGUGGCGAACGGGUGAGUAACACGUGGGUGAUCUGCCCUGCACUUCGGGAUAAGCCUGGGAAACUGGGUCUAAUACCGGAUAGGACUCCUGGCUUCAUGGUUGGGGGUGGAAAGCUUUUGCGGUGUGGGAUGGGCCCGCGGCCUAUCAGCGUGUUGGUGGGGUAAUGGCCUACCAAGGCGACGACGGGUAGCCGGCCUGAGAGGGUGACCGGUCACACUGGGACUGAGAUACGGCCCAGACUCCUACGGGAGGCAGCAGUGGGGAAUAUUGCACAAUGGGCGCAAGCCUGAUGCAGCGACGCCGCGUGAGGGAUGACGGCCUUCGGGUUGUAGACCUCUUUCAGCACCGACGAAGCGCAAGUGACGGUAGGUGCAGAAGAAGGACCGGCCAACUACGUGCCAGCCGCCGCCGUAA
rnacentral:rRNA from 1 species